UAAGACGUAGGUGGCGAGCGUUGUUCGGAAUCACUGGGCAUAAAGCGCACGUAGGCGGCUGGGCAAGUCGGAUGUGAAAUACCUCGGCUCAACCGAGGAACUGCGUCCGAUACUGCCCGGCUUGAGGUCCGGAGGGGAGAGUGGAAUUCCCGGUGGAGCGGUGAAAUGCGUAGAGAUCGGGAAGAACGCCGGCGGCGAAAGCGACUCUCUGGUCGGAAUCUGACGCUGAGGUGCGAAAGCUAGGGGAGCAAACGGG
rnacentral:rRNA from 1 species